UCUAAAGCUGGCGCACGUGGAGGGAGCACCUUGCCCCGCCCACGUGGUGGCUAUAAAUGGUCAGGUGGACGCCUGUAAUACAAAAACAAAAAAAAAAUAAGAGGGAAGAAGUGGA